rnacentral:rRNA from 1 species
AGCAAGCACCGGCUAACUUCGUGCCAGAGCCGCGGUAAUACGAGGGGUGCAAGCGUUAUUCGGAAUCAUUGGGCGUAAAGGGUGCGUAGACGGCUCAUUAAGUCAACUGUUAAAUCCUCCGGCCUAACUGGAGUUCAGCGGUAGAAACUGAUAAGCUUGAGGUUGGAAGAGAGAAGUGGUAUUCUCGGAGUAGCGGUAAAAUGCGUAGAUCUCGAGAGGAACACCAAUGGCGAAGGCAGCUUCUUGGUCCAAAUCUGACGUUGAGGCACGAAAGCGCGGGGAGCAAACAGGAUUAGAUACCCUGGUAGUCCACGCCGUAAACGAUGAUCACUAGACGUUAACUCUGCUUGCAGGGUGAGUGUCGUAGCUAACGCGCUAAGUGAUCCGCCUGGGGAUUACGGUCGCAAGACUAAAACUCAAAGGAAUUGACGGGGGCCCGCACAAGCGGUGGAACAUGUGGUUUAAUUCGACAAUCCGCGAGGAACCUUACCUAGACUUGACAUGCUUUUGACAGCUGUAGAAAUACAGUCUUUUACAUUUCGGUGUAGACAAUUGCACAGGUGCUGCAUGGUUGUCGUCAGCUCGUGUCGUGAGAUGUUGGGUUAAGUCCUUUAACGAGCGCAACUCCUGCCGAUAGUUGCUACUUGAUUUAUCAAGGCACUCUAUCGGGACUGCCUGGGAAACCAGGAGGAAGGUGGGAAUGACGUCAAAUCAUCAUGGUCCUUAUGUCUAGGGCUACACACGUGUUACAAUGGUCGGUACAAAGGGUAGCGAGUCUGCGAAGAUGAGCGAAUCCCAAAAAGCCGAUCUAAGUUCGGAUUGCGGUCUGCAACUCGACCGCAUGAAGUUGAAAUCGCUAGUAAUCGCGCAUCAGCAACGGCGCGUGAAUACGUUCACGGGCCUUGUACACACCGCCCGUCACACCACGAAAGCUGUUUGUACC